rnacentral:rRNA from 1 species
UGGGGAAUUUUGGACAAUGGGCGAAAGCCUGAUCCAGCAAUGCCGCGUGUGUGAAGAAGGCCUUCGGGUUGUAAAGCACUUUUGUCCGGAAAGAAAUCCUUGGCUCUAAUACAGUCGGGGGAUGACGGUACCGGAAGAAUAAGCACCGGCUAACUACGUGCCAGCAGCCGCGGUAAUACGUAGGGUGCAAGCGUUAAUCGGAAUUACUGGGCGUAAAGCGUGCGCAGGCGGUUUGCUAAGACCGAUGUGAAAUCCCCGGGCUCAACCUGGGAACUGCAUUGGUGACUGGCAGGCUAGAGUAUGGCAGAGGGGGGUAGAAUUCCACGUGUAGCAGUGAAAUGCGUAGAGAUGUGGAGGAAUACCGAUGGCGAAGGCAGCCCUCUGGGCCAAUACUGACGCCCAUGCACGAAAGCGUGGGGAGCAAACAGGAUUAGAUACCCUGGUAGUCCACGCCCUAAACGAUGUCAACUAGUUGUUGGGGGAUUCAUUUCCUUAGUAACGUAGCUAACGCGUGAAGUUGACCGCCUGGGGAGUACGGUCGCAAGAUUAAAACUCAAAGGAAUUGACGGGGUCAUAGCUGUUUCCU